CUUGAGCGGAGGAAGUUGCCAUGGAAACGGGGCGACAACACCAACUGACAAACUUCCCUCGCAGCUGUUUUCACUUCUUUCAGAAACCUUUGAAAGGGUCCGUUAGCAUCUCAACUGUUUUCAGGCUAGAUUCUUCUAUGAUGAUGGCAGUUCAGCAGAGUUGGAGGAGACCUUCU